rnacentral:tRNA from 1 species
UCCGGGAUCGUCUAAUGGUAGGACGGUAGACUCUGAAUCUACUAAUCCUGGUUCGAGUCCAGGUCCCGGAGCCA